UCUCUUCCUCUCUGGUUUUCUUCUUCUCUUCCUCACUCUCUAUGAUUCGGGCAAAAUUUUUUUCCGAUCAUAAUAAGUCACAACUAAUAAGUCGCUUGUGAAUCAGUAUUAGGUUUUGCUUCCUCUUCUUCUUCAAACAGAUCCAUCACAUAUGAAAUUCCUAGACCUAUAGUUUUGAGAUUUCUCUUAUUCGAAUCAAUAUGAAGAAUUCAGCAAAUGCAGGUGUAGUGAUGCGGGAUCCUGGACUAAGUUCAGAGCUGAAGUCAGCAUGUAAUUCUCACUAAUGAAACUCGUAGAAUGAUUGUAAGGAAAACAUUUAAUGGUUUUCUUGAGCGGUUUUGCUGAGGCGGCAUCAAGUGAUGUUACUAAACCAGAAUUGCUGCCUAAAGAUUUCAGAACAAUUAUUGAUGUUGUUGGUUUUCUUUCAGCUGGCCAGGAAAAAUUUCUUGCUUAAGCAAGGUCAGUCAUUGUCCAAUCAUGAGAGCAAGGAGAAAGUUAUUGUUGAACAACCAUGCUUCGUUUCAGCAUUUGUCUUGAUUGUUGAAAUAAAAUAGGAAAUUUAUGUUCAUAAUUUUAGAUUAUCAUAGGUUAGUUUCAUAUGUAGCUUAUGGUAAGUCGUACAAUUAUGAUUUUUAACUUAAGAAUGAAUAGGCAACAAAUUGAUACAUUUUUUAACUUGAUGUGUUCAUUUUAUGAUGAAUGUUGUUUGCUUACUCAGAAGUGGUGUUUGUGGUAGGGGGUAAAUCUACAUGAGUUUAUCUUCAGCUGGCUGGUUGUCAUUUGUAGGUUAGUUAUUUUUACUAGAUUGAGCUAACUGCAUAUUACGUCACUUUAAGUAAUUCUUGGUGGCCUAAUGAUGAUUACGUCUUGGCUGUAGUUGGAUAGCA